rnacentral:rRNA from 1 species
UACGUAGGGGGCUAGCGUUGUCCGGAUUUAUUGGGCGUAAAGCGCGUGUAGGCGGAUGAGCAAGUCUGCUGUGAAAGCUCCUGGCUUAACCGGGAGUGGUCGGUGGAAACUGCUCGUCUGGAGGACGGUAGAGGUAGGUAGAAUUCCCGGUGUAGUGGUGAAAUGCGUAGAGAUCGGGAGGAAUACCUGUGGCGAAGGCGGCCUACUGGGCCGGACCUGACGCUGAGACGCGAAGGCGUGGGGAGCGAACGGG